rnacentral:sRNA from 1 species
AGUUUCACCGCUUGAUCUUGGGACCCACCGGCGCCCUCAGCUCCGAGUCCAGGGCGAGGCUUGGGCACUGUUUAAAGGAAAGUUCCGAGAAGGCAUCGACAAGCCAGACCCUCCUACCUGGAAGACACGUUUACGAUGCGCACUGAACAAGAGCAAUGACUUUGAGGAACUGGUUGAGCGGAGCCAGCUGGACAUCUCAGACCCGUACAAAGUGUACAGGAUUGUUCCUGAGGGAGCCAAGAAAGGAGCCAAGCAGCUCGCCCUGGAGGACCCGCAGAUGUCCAUGAGCCACCCCUACACCAUGACAACGCCUUACCCCUCGCUCCCAGCCCAGGUAUGGUGGAGGGCACUGGGCUCCCUGAGGGCGAGGCUGUGUGGUCCAACAGCCCAGAAAAACCCCAGGU